rnacentral:rRNA from 1 species
AGCAGUCGCCGCGGGAAUACGUAGGUCCCGAGCGUUGUCCGGAUUUAUUGGGCGUAAAGCGAGCGCAGGCGGUUAGAUAAGUCUGAAGUUAAAGGCUGUGGCUUAACCAUAGUACGCUUUGGAAACUGUUUAACUUGAGUGCAAGAGGGGAGAGUGGAAUUCCAUGUGUAGCGGUGAAAUGCGUAGAUAUAUGGAGGAACACCGGUGGCGAAAGCGGCUCUCUGGCUUGUAACUGACGCUGAGGCUCGAAAGCGUGGGGAGCAAACAGGAUUAGAUACCCCAGUAGUCCCUGUCUCUUAUACA